rnacentral:rRNA from 1 species
UACGUAGGUGGCGAGCGUUGUCCGGAUUUACUGGGCGUAAAGAGCGCGCAGGCGGCUGGUCAAGUCCGAUGUGAAAGCUCCCGGCUUAACUGGGAAAUUGCAUCGGAAACUGAUCGGCUGGAAGGUGGGAGAGGGUAGCGGAAUUCCCGGUGUAGUGGUGAAAUGCGUAGAUAUCGGGAGGAACACCUGUGGCGAAAGCGGCGCACUGGACCACAACUGACGCUGAGGCGCGAAAGCUAGGGGAGCAAACAGG